GAUGAACGCUGGCGGCGUGCCUAAUACAUGCAAGUCGAGCGAACGGACGAGAAGCUUGCUCCUUUGACGUUAGCGGCGGACGGGUGAGUAACACGUGGGUAACCUACCUAUAAGACUGGGAUAACUUCGGGAAACCGGAGCUAAUACCGGAUAAUAUUUCGAACCGCAUGGUUCGAUAGUGAAAGAUGGCUUUGCUAUCACUUAUAGAUGGACCUGCGCCGUAUUAGCUAGUUGGUAAGGUAACGGCUUACCAAGGCAACGAUACGUAGCCGACCUGAGAGGGUGAUCGGCCACACUGGAACUGAGACACGGUCCAGACUCCUACGGGAGGCAGCAGUAGGGAAUCUUCCGCAAUGGGCGAAAGCCUGACGGAGCAACGCCGCGUGAGUGAUGAAGGUCUUCCGAUCGUAAAACUCUGUUAUUAGGGAAAGACAAACGUGUAAGUAACUGUGCACGUCUUGACGGUACCUAAUCAGAAAGCCACGGCUAAAUACGUGCCAGCAGCCGCGGUAAUACGUAAGUGGCAAGCGUUAUCCGGAAAUAUUGGGCGUAAAGCGCGCGUAGCGGUUUUUUAGUCUGAUGUGAAAGCCCACGGCUCAACCCCUGGAGGGUCAUUGGAAACUGGAAAACUUGAGUGCAGAAGAGGAAAGUGGAAUUCCAUGUGUAGCGGUGAAAUGCGCAGAGAUAUGGAGGAACACCAGUGGCGAAGGCGACUUUCUGGUCUGUAACUGACGCUGAUGUGCGAAAGCGUGGGGAUCAAACAGGAUUAGAUACCCUGGUAGUCCACGCCGUAAACGAUGAGUGCUAAGUGUUAGGGGGUUUCCGCCCCUUAGUGCUGCAGCUAACGCAUUAGACACUCCGCCUGGGGAGUACGACCGCAGGGUUGAAACUCAAAGGAAUUGACGGGGACCCGCACAAGCGGUGGAGCAUGUGGUUUAAUUCGAAGCAACGCGAAGAACCUUACCAAAUCUUGACAUCCUUUGACAACUCUAGAGAUAGAGCCUUCCCCUUCGGGGGACAAAGUGACAGGUGGUGCAUGGUUGUCGUCAGCUCGUGUCGUGAGAUGUUGGGUUAAGUCCCGCAACGAGCGCAACCCUUAAGCUUAGUUGCCAUCAUUAAGUUGGGCACUCUAAGUUGACUGCCGGUGACAAACCGGAGGAAGGUGGGGAUGACGUCAAAUCAUCAUGCCCCUUAUGAUUUGGGCUACACACGUGCUACAAUGGACAAUACAAAGGGCAGCGAAACCGCGAGGUCAAGCAAAUCCCAUAAAGUUGUUCUCAGUUCGGAUUGUAGUCUGCAACUCGACUACAUGAAGCUGGAAUCGCUAGUAAUCGUAGAUCAGCAUGCUACGGUGAAUACGUUCCCGGGUCU
rnacentral:rRNA from 1 species